AAUACAACCAAUGCCUGGGAUAAAGUCAGCCACCUCAAAACACUGCCCAACAGUGCUUCUCCAGGAGAAUUUAAAGACGGGACCCAGUGAUAAACACACAUCCAACACCCGGUGCUCCCCUGAAACGGGGACCAGAGAAGGUGCUGUGUGCACAAACUGCUGAGGCACCGUCCAAGGCAUUCCGCCUUUUACGGGCUCUUCUCUCCAUGAAGGUGGCAUUUCUCUGAGCACUUAAGAAGAUGACUCACCCAGAGAGGCGGACUGGGCUGGUCUCCCGCCUUGGAAAACCCUGGUGUCUGCCCUGCUGAGGCUCCGAGUUGACACUUGCGUGGCUGCGACCCUCAGCCGCGGGACAAGCGAUGACGACGUUGGAAUUGCAGGAUCUUGCUUGCAAAAGUCAUGGCGCCAACUCAAGGGCUGCAAGCCCCAACAGCUUCAGAGCCAGGCUUCAAGAAUAAGCCAGACUUGAAUAUCAAAGUCCCAAGGAAUGAAAUGAAGGCCUCUGGGACACCACUGAGAGACUGCCAUGCAUCGCCUGAAGAUGCGGGAACAUGCUACCAAGCACAGCUCAAAUUACGGCCAUGGCGGCGACUGUUAGUUCUAUAACCCCACAUCUGCUCUCUCCUUUGCUGCCAAAUAAUCAAGCUCCUGCUUUUCAGUUGCAACAGUUCCACGUUUGUUAGUCUCCCUUGCAGCUGGGUAUGGCUGCCACCUGACGAGGGCAGCAUGAUGAGCUGGGGGGAGCCUGAGUUAACCUGGAUGGGCUGCUGCCAUAUAACCCUAGACUGCCUACCUCUAGCUUUCUUUUACAUAAGAGAAUAAAACUUUUUGCAUUUGA